UACGUAGGUGGCAAGCGUUGUCCGGAUUUAUUGGGUUUAAAGGGCGCGUAGGCGGUUUUUUAAGUCAGUGGUGAAAUACGGCAGCUCAACUGUCGAGGUGCCAUUGAUACUGGGAAACUUGAGUACUGAUGAGGUAGGCGGAAUGGACGGUGUAGCGGUGAAAUGCUUAGAUAUCGUCCAGAGCACCGAUAGCGAAGGCAGCUUACUAAGGAGUAACUGACGCUGAGGCACGAAAGUGUGGGGAUCAAACAGG
rnacentral:rRNA from 1 species